rnacentral:misc_RNA from 1 species
GAGAGGAUUUUUGACAACAUAUUCAACAUAUAAGUUGUAAAUAUACUUUAGAGAUUCACGUAGAUCACCAGUCCUGGGAUGAGUAACCAAGAUAAUCUUUAUCCCAGAAGGACUUUCCAUGAAGCUAAGCUUGUAUGUAUUUGUUCGAAAGCUGUGGAAUGAACAACCUUGGCCAGGUAACUGAGGCAUCCCAAGGUUUCCUUUCUCCGCACUCGUGGGAUCCAUCUUUGCAGUUAGCGACUUGAGCGAGAAAAGCAGACCAAACAUGAGCUUAUGGUCCUGCUGCGCAUUGAGGGUGUGAAGUGGGCGAUUCCACUCCCUGUAGAGCAAACAUACCCCGUUUCUAUUGAACACAUACAUCAUGUGCGCAUUGUUGCCCGAUGCUGUUGGUGCCGGUGGCGAUGGACUGAUGUCUGAUCCUCCAAAAAAUUGCAUACUUUUCCACCAAUCAAAUGGACUUCAAAAAUGUAUACCACAAGCCCUUCACUGAUAUUUCUUAAUGGCCAAAAAGAGGUUCUUAACGAAGAAAGAAGGCGUAGAGUAUAGAGAGACGCACCUGAGCACCCGGUUAGCUAGGCAAGCGA